UACGUAGGCAGCGAGCGUUGUUCGGAAUUACUGGGCGUAAAGAGUGUGUAGGCGGUGCUCUAAGUUCGGUGUGAAUCUCCCGCUUAACUGGGAGGGUGCGCCGGAAACUGGAGUGCUCGAGCGUGGGAGAGGAAAGCGGAAUUCCGGGUGGUAGCGGUGGAAUGCGUAGAGAUCCGGAAGAACACCGGAGGCGAAGGCGGCUUGCUGGGCUUGGUCUGACGCUGAGGCGCGAAAGCGUGGGGAGCGAACAGG
rnacentral:rRNA from 1 species